CUGAACGUUUUCACAAUUUUCAGCAGAAAUUAAAUAAACAAUAUGUUUUUGAAUUAUAAUUAAACAGAAAUCGCUAAAUUUCGUUAUUGUUAACAAGGAGUAAAAAUAAAAAACUAAACGGAAAUCAUACAAUUAAUAGUGUUAUAUUUCAGUAUAUUUGAUAAAUCAACUUUGGAGGUAAAGUCAAAAGAAUGGGAAAACUAUCUAGGUGGUUAAUGUAUGACUAAGGCGCGGCUUGGGCGCGAGUAUGAAAGUAGGGGAUAUGAAGGAGUUACGAAAUUAAAUAGAAAAUUAAACAAAAAAGUCUAAAGAACUAGAACUAGAAAAGCCUUCAACUACCCAAAUACCAAACCACAAAUAUUAAUAAUGCAGUGCAUCUAGAUCUCAAGUGUUAAUGAAUACAAAACAAAAACUAAAACUCAAACCAAAAUGUUAGAUUGGCAAUACUUGCAUAAAACAACUAGCAGAGAUAAACAUCUAGUUUAAAAAGGUUCACAUAGGAGAGAUUUCGCUUAAAUUUUGUAUCCUAGAUAUGACACGUGGCAAUUUAGUCGUACAAUGCUCCGAAGAAAUUAGUCAAAUGAAACGAUCUACGGCAGAAAAAUUGGUGUUCUAUUAUCAAAAUAUGUUUCUGAAUUUAAUUUCUUUGUUUAUCAAUAUUUCUUCUCUCGGUUUUGACUGUGAAGGGGUGAGGGUUCAAAUGGAUUUCGUAAGUGUGACGUUUAUGAACGACCGUUGUGUUGAGUUUGUCAGUUGGACUGAGAUGCGAUAAAUUCAUUAAGCGAUUUGCGAAAAGAUGCCGCUGAAGAUAUGAAUUAAGAGCGAGGCUAUACGAGUACCAAAAUAAAAAGUAUUUGUCAAAAUCUCAUCAAUUUAAUGAUUUCAUUAUGUGUUACAACUAUUUACUGUCUAUAUGUGAUAUUAAUACGUAUGUGUGUAUGUGAGUAUGUGUCCAUGACUUGAAAUAAAUAGAACGUCGAAGUGA